GCCUCAGUAACGGCGAGUGAAGCGGCAAGAGCUCAAAUUUGAAAUCUGGCCCCCUCGGGGUCCGAGUUGUAAUUUGGAGAGGAUGCUUCGGGUGCGGUCCCCGUCUAAGUGCCCUGGAACGGGCCGUCAUAGAGGGUGAGAAUCCCGUCUGGGAUGGGCGGCCGCGCCCGUGUGAAGCUCCUUCGACGAGUCGAGUUGUUUGGGAAUGCAGCUCUAAGCGGGUGGUAAAUUUCAUCUAAAGCUAAAUACUGGCCGGAGACCGAUAGCGCACAAGUAGAGUGAUCGAAAGAUGAAAAGCACUUUGAAAAGAGAGUUAAACAGCACGUGAAAUUGUUGAAAGGGAAGCGUUGGCCCCCAGACGCGCCCAGGGGGGUUCAGCCGGCACGUGUGCCGGUGCACUCCCCCCUGGGUGGGCCAGCAUCGGUUUGGGCGGUCGCUGAAAGGCCCCGGGAAUGUAGCACCCUCCGGGGUGCCUUAUAGCCCGGGGUGUCAUGCGGCCCGCCUGGACCGAGGCCCGCGCUUCGGCGAGGAUGCUGGCGUAAUGGUGGUCAACGGCCCGUCUUGAAACACGGACCAAGGAGUCUAACAUCUAUGCGAGUGUUCGGGUGUCAAACCCGUCCGCGCAGUGAAAGCGAACGCAGGUGGGAACCCCUCCCGGGGCGCACCAUCGACCGAUCCUGAUGUCUUCGGAUGGAUUUGAGUAAGAGCAUAGCUGUUGGGACCCGAAAGAUGGUGAACUAUGCCUGAAUAGGGCGAAGCCAGAGGAAACUCUGGUGGAGGCUCGCAGCGGUUCUGACGUGCAAAUCGAUCGUCAAAUUUGGGUAUAGGGGCGAAAGACUAAUCGAACCAUCUGGUAGCUGGUUCCUGC
rnacentral:rRNA from 1 species